GACGAACGCUGGCGGCGUGCUUAACACAUGCAAGUCGAACGGAAAGGCCCUGCUUUUGUGGGGUGCUCGAGUGGCGAACGGGUGAGUAACACGUGAGUAACCUGCCCUUGACUUUGGGAUAACUUCAGGAAACUGGGGCUAAUACCGGAUAGGAGCUCCUGCUGCAUGUUGGGGGUUGGAAAGUUUCGGCGGUUGGGGCUGGACUCGCGGCUUAUCAGCUUGUUGGUGGGGUAGUGGCUUACCAAGGCUUUGACGGGUAGGCCGCCUGAGAGGGUGACCGGCCACAUUGGGACUGAGAGACGGCCCAGAAUCCUACGGGAGGCAGCAGUGGGGAAUAUUGCACAAUGGGCGGAAGCCUGAUGCAGCAACGCCGCGUGCGGGAUGCCGGCCUUCGGGUUGUAAACCGCUUUCGCCUGUGACGAAGCGUGAGUGACGGUAAUGGGUAAAGAAGCACCGGCUAACUACGUG
rnacentral:rRNA from 1 species